AUUGAACGCUGGCGGCAUGCCUAACACAUGCAAGUCGAACGGGGGUAGGGGCAACUCUACUUCAGUGGCGGACGGGUGAGGAAUGCGUCGGAAUCUACCCUAUGGUGGGGGAUAACACAGGGAAACUUGUGCUAAUACCGCAUGAUGUCGAGAGACCAAAGCAGGGGACCGCAAGGCCUUGCGCGAUAGGAUGAGCCGACGCCCGAUUAGCUAGUUGGUAGGGUAAAGGCCUACCAAGGCGACGAUCGGUAGCUGGUCUGAGAGGAUGAUCAGCCACACUGGGACUGAGACACGGCCCAGACUCCUACGGGAGGCAGCAGUGGGGAAUAUUGGACAAUGGGCGGCAAGCCUGAUCCAGCAAUGCCGCGUGUGUGAAGAAAGGCCGUGCGGGUUGUUAAAGACACUUUGUUUCGGGUAAGGAAAACGGAAAGUACGGUUAA
rnacentral:rRNA from 1 species